CCUACGGGCGGCAGCAGUGGGGAAUAUUGCACAAUGGAGGAAACUCUGAUGCAGCGACGCCGCGUGAGUGAAGAAGUAAUUCGUUACGUAAAGCUCUAUCAGCAGGGAAGAAAAUGACGGUACCUGCGUAAGAAGCACCGGCUAACUACGUGCCGGCAGCCGCGGGAGUACGUAGGGGGCAAGCGUUAUCCGGCUUUACUGGGUGUAAAGGGAGCGUAGACGGUGCGCCAAGUCUGUAGUGAACUGCCGCAGCUUAACUGCGGAGCUUCUUUGGAAACUGGCGAACUAGAGUGCGGGAGGGGUAAGCGGAAUUCCUAGUGUAGCGGUGAAAUGCGUAGAUAUUAGGAGGAACACCGGUGGCGAAGGCGGCUUACUGGACCGUAACUGACGUUGAGGCUCGAAAGCGUGGGGAGCAAACAGGAUUAGAUACCCCAGUAGUC
rnacentral:rRNA from 1 species